rnacentral:rRNA from 1 species
GUCCUCAUGUUUUUAUUUGAGGUUUGGCCUGCCCGGUGAUUUUAAUUUAACGGCCGCGGUAUAUUGACCGUGCAAAGGUAGCAUAAUCAUUAGUCUUUUAAUAGGAGGCUGGAAUGAAAGGUUUAACGAAAAAUUAGCUGUCUCAAUUAUAAAUUUGAAUUUAACUUUUAAGUUAAAAGGCUUAAAUUUUUUUGUAGGACGAGAAGACCCUAUAGAGCUUUACAUUUAAUAUUUUGUUAUAUUGAUUUAGAUUAAUAUUUUUAAUUAACUUUAAAAAAAUGUUUUGUUGGGGUGACAAGAAAUAUAUAUUUAACUUUUAUUAUUAUAUUUUCAUUAAUUUAUGAUUAUUGGAUCCAAAAUUUUUGAUCAUUAGAAUAAGUUACCUUAGGGAUAACAGCGUAAUCUUCCCUCAGAGUUCAAAUUUACGGGAAGGGUUGCGACCUCGAUGUUGGAUUAAGAUAACAGUUGGGUGCAGUAGCUCAAUUUGUAGGUCUGUUCGACCUUUAAAUUCUU